rnacentral:rRNA from 1 species
AACGAACGCUGGCGGCAGGCUUAACACAUGCAGGUCGAACGAGUCCUUCGGGACGAGUGGCGCACGGGUGAGUAAUACAUGGGAACGUGCCCUUCAGUCUGGAAUAACGUCGGGAAACUGACGCUAAUACCGGAUAUUCCCUCCGGGGGGAAAGAUUUAUCGCUGAAGGAUCGGCCCAUGCCAGAUUAGCUUGUUGGUGGGGUAAUGGCCCACCAAGGCUCCGAUCUGUAGCUGGUCUGAGAGGACGAUCAGCCACACUGGUACUGAGACGCGGACCAG